AAUCCAUAGGUUAAUGAGGCGAACCGGGGGAACUGAAACAUCUAAGUACCCCGAGGAAAAGAAAUCAACCGAGAUUCCCCCAGUAGCGGCGAGCGAACGGGGAGGAGCCCAGAGCCUGAAUCAGCAUGUGUGUUAGUGGAAGCGUCUGGAAAGGCGCGCGAUACAGGGUGACAGCCCCGUACACAAAAGCGCAUGUGCUGUGAGCUCGAUGAGUAGGGCGGGACACGUGGUAUCCUGUCUGAAUAUGGGGGGACCAUCCUCCAAGGCUAAAUACUCCUGACUGACCGAUAGUGAACCAGUACCGUGAGGGAAAGGCGAAAAGAACCCCGGCGAGGGGAGUGAAAAAGAACCUGAAACCGUGUACGUACAAGCAGUGGGAGCACCCUUUGGGUGUGACUGCGUACCUUUUGUAUAAUGGGUCAGCGACUUAUAUUCUGUAGCAAGGUUAACCGAAUAGGGGAGCCGGAGGGAAACCGAGUCUUAAUUGGGCGUUAAGUUGCAGGGUAUAGACCCGAAACCCGGUGAUCUAGCCAUGGGCAGGUUGAAGGUUGGGUAACACUAACUGGAGGACCGAACCGACUAAUGUUGAAAAAUUAGCGGAUGACCUGUGGCUGGGGGUGAAAGGCCAAUCAAACCGGGAGAUAGCUGGUUCUCCCCGAAAGCUAUUUAGGUAGCGCCUCGUGAAUUCAUCUCCGGGGGUAGAGCACUGUUUCGGCUAGGGGGCCAUCCCGGCUUACCAACCCGAUGCAAACUGCGAAUACCGGAGAAUGUUAUCACGGGAGACACACGGCGGGUGCUAACGUCCGUCGUGAAGAGGGAAACAACCCAGACCGCCAGCUAAGGUCCCAAAGUCAUGGUUAAGUGGGAAACGAUGUGGGAAGGCCCAGACAGCCAGGAUGUUGGCUUAGAAGCAGCCAUCAUUUAAAGAAAGCGUAAUAGCUCACUGGUCGAGUCGGCCUGCGCGGAAGAUGUAACGGGGCUAAACCAUGCACCGAAGCUGCGGCAGCGAACGUAUCACUUAAAGCGAUUCAGCGGGUUACGAUUGACGGAGCGAAGCGACGUCAAAGCGUAUACAAAGUCGAGUCGGUUUAAGGAUACGUUCGUUGGGUAGGGGAGCGUUCUGUAAGCCUGUGAAGGUGGCCUGUGAGGGUUGCUGGAGGUAUCAGAAGUGCGAAUGCUGACAUAAGUAACGAUAAAGCGGGUGAAAAGCCCGCUCGCCGGAAGACCAAGGGUUCCUGUCCAACGUUAAUCGGGGCAGGGUGAGUCGACCCCUAAGGCGAGGCCGAAAGGCGUAGUCGAUGGGAAACGGGUUAAUAUUCCCGUACUUGGUGUUACUGCGAAGGGGGGACGGAGAAGGCUAUGUUGGCCGGGCGACGGUUGUCCCGGUUUAAGCGUGUAGGCUGGUUUUCCAGGCAAAUCCGGAAAAUCAAGGCUGAGGCGUGAUGACGAGGCACUACGGUGCUGAAGCAACAAAUGCCCUGCUUCCAGGAAAAGCCUCUAAGCAUCAGGUAACAUCAAAUCGUACCCCAAACCGACACAGGUGGUCAGGUAGAGAAUACCAAGGCGCUUGAGAGAACUCGGGUGAAGGAACUAGGCAAAAUGGUGCCGUAACUUCGGGAGAAGGCACGCUGACACGUAGGUGAAGUGAUUUACUCACGGAGCUGAAGUCAGUCGAAGAUACCAGCUGGCUGCAACUGUUUAUUAAAAACACAGCACUGUGCAAACACGAAAGUGGACGUAUACGGUGUGACGCCUGCCCGGUGCCGGAAGGUUAAUUGAUGGGGUCAGCGCAAGCGAAGCUCCUGAUCGAAGCCCCGGUAAACGGCGGCCGUAACUAUAACGGUCCUAAGGUAGCGAAAUUCCUUGUCGGGUAAGUUCCGACCUGCACGAAUGGCGUAAUGAUGGCCAGGCUGUCUCCACCCGAGACUCAGUGAAAUUGAACUCGCUGUGAAGAUGCAGUGUACCCGCGGCAAGACGGAAAGACCCCGUGAACCUUUACUAUAGCUUGACACUGAACAUUGAGCCUUGAUGUGUAG
rnacentral:rRNA from 1 species